rnacentral:rRNA from 1 species
CCCGUGAUCCGGGUUGCGGACAGUGUCUGGUGGGUAGUUUGACUGGGGCGGUCUCCUCCUAAAGAGUAACGGAGGAGCACGAAGGUUGGCUAAUCCUGGUCGGACAUCAGGAGGUUAGUGCAAUGGCAUAAGCCAGCUUGACUGCGAGCGUGACGGCGCGAGCAGGUGCGAAAGCAGGUCAUAGUGAUCCGGUGGUUCUGAAUGGAAGGGCCAUCGCUCAACGGAUAAAAGGUACUCCGGGGAUAACAGGCUGAUACCGCCCAAGAGUUCAUAUCGACGGCGGUGUUUGGCACCUCGAUGUCGGCUCAUCACAUCCUGGGGCUGAAGUAGGUCCCAAGGGUAUGGCUGUUCGCCAUUUAAAGUGGUACGCGAGCUGGGUUUAGAACGUCGUGAGACAGUUCGGUCCCUAUCUGCCGUGGGCGCUGGAGAACUGAGGGGGGCUGCUCCUAGUACGAGAGGACCGGAGUGGACGCAUCACUGGUGUUCGGGUUGUCAUGCCAAUGGCACUGCCCGGUAGCUAAAUGCGGAAGAGAUAAGUGCUGAAAGCAUCUAAGCACGAAACUUGCCCCGAGAUGAGUUCUCCCUGACUCCUUGAGAGUCCUGAAGGAACGUUGAAGACGACGACGUUGAUAGGCCGGGUGUGUAAGCGCAGCGAUGCGUUGAGCUAACCGGUACUAAUGAACCGUGAGGCUUAACCUU